AAUUGGAGGGCAAGUCUGGUGCCAGCAGCCGCGGUAAUUCCAGCUCCAAUAGCGUAUAUUAAAGUUGUUGCAGUUAAAAAGCUCGUAGUUGAACUUCGGGAUCAAUGGAUUGGUCAUGCCGUUGGUAUGUACUGGUCAUAUUGGUUCUCACCUUCUAAGGAACCAUAAUGUCAUUCAUUUGAUGUUUUGGGGAAUUAGGACUGUUACCUUGAAAAAAUUAGAGUGUUUAAAGCAGGCUAACGCUUGAAUACAUUAGCAUGGAAUAAUGAAAUAGGACAUCGCAUUCUAUUUUGUUGGUUUCUAGGAUCGAUGUAAUGAUUAAUAGGGAUAGUUGGGGGCAUUAGUAUUCAAUCGUCAGAGGUGAAAUUCUUGGAUUUAUUGAAGACUAACUACUGCGAAAGCAUUUGCCAAGGAUGUUUUCAUUAAUCAAGAACGAAAGUUAGGGGAUCGAAGACGAUCAGAUACCGUCGUAGUCUUAACCAUAAACUAUGCCGACUAGGGAUCGGAUGAUGUUGAUUUUUUAAUGACUCAUUCGGCACCUUACGGGAAACCAAAGUGU
rnacentral:rRNA from 1 species